GGGAUUCACAUUAUGUAUGUGUUAGCUCACCUGCAGUUGACCCACAGUUCUUUUGAUCUUCUGCUCCACGGUUUUUAUUCUUUAUUCUCAUUUCAUUUCAGUUUUGGACGUUUCUGUUUACGUAUGUUCAAGCCCUCAAAUUUUUUCUUUUCCAUAUCUUGUCUACUGAUGAGCUCAUCAGAGGCAUUCUUCCUUUCUAUUAUACUGUUUUGAUUUCUAACAUUUUUUUCUUAUUCAUUCUUAGAGUGUCCAUCUCUCUGCUUACAUUAUCCAUCUUUUCUUGUAUGUCAUCAUUUUUUUCAUUAGAUUUCUUAACAUAGUAAUUAUAUAUUUUUUAAUUCCCGGCCUGAUAAUUCCAGUGUUUCUGCCACAUCUGGGUCUAUUUCUGACGCUUUUUGCUGUAUCUUCAAACUGCGUUUUUUUUUGUAUCUUUUAGAAUCUCUUGUAAUUUUUUGUUGAAAGCCAUACAUGAUGAACUGAGUAAAAUGAACUGGGAUAAAGAGGCCUUUAGUGUGAAGUUUUAUGGUUAUCUGGCUGAGUUAGGCUGUGUUUGUUGUUUGCUAUACAUAUAGAGGUCAGCGGCUAGAAUUCCCUUUCUUGUCCUUGUUUUUGUCUCACAUGUUACCUUUGGGUUUUACUGGAGAUUCCUUCUUAAAAGAGCAUGUGAGCCUCAGAUUUCUUUUAUCUGUAACCCACUGUUAUUAUACAGGAGCCUGGUUGACAUGUCAGUAAACUAUGGGGUUAGGGAAGUUACAAUUCAAUCCUAUAAUUUGGUUCCAGUCUUUUACUGAGCCUGUGUUUCUGGCCUAUAAAUUUCCCCCAUGCCCUCAGGGGAGACAAAAUGGCUGAGGGACUCAGGACUUGGGUAUUUCCCUUCUCCCAUAUCAAAGGCCAGAGGGAGCUAGAAUUAGAUAUUCCCUUUCUCUAAAUUGGUUAAGCUGUGGCAAAACCCAAGGCAAUUGGCUCUGUUAAAAUAGUUUAUUUUGAGGGUAGUCCUUUGUUAAGUAGAACAGAAUGUUCUGGACUUACUUCAGAUUAAAAACUUUCCUCUUCCACUAUGGAAGCAAAAGAGAAAUUUUCCCCUAUGUUCACCCUGAGAAGCUGAUGGGACUACUAAAGUAAUUUGGAUUUGGCUCUAAGUUGAGUACAUUUACCAUUGCUCCAUUAGAAAUAAAAUGGUGCAGCCCAGCAAAAGAAACUACCAUCAGAGUGAACAGGCAACCUACAGAAUGGGAGAAAAUUUUUGCAAUUUACUCAUCUGACAAAGGGCUAAUAUCCAGAAACUACAAAGAACUCAAACAAAUUUACAAGACAAAAACAACCCCAUCAACAAGUGGGCGAAGGAUAUGAACAGACACUUCUCAAAAGAAGACAUUUAUGCAGCCAACAGACACAUGAAAAAAUGCUCAUCAUCACUGGCCAUCAGAGAAAUGCAAAUCAAAACCACAAUGAGAUAUCAUCUCAUGCCAGUUAGAAUGGCGAUCAUUAAAAAGUCAGGAAACAACAGAUACUGGAGAGGAUGCGGGGAAAUAGAAACACUUUUACACUGUCAGUGGGAGUGUAAACUAGUUCAACCAUUGUGGAAGACAGUGUGGCGAUUCCUCAGGGUUCUAGAACCAGAAAUACUAUUUGAUCCAGCAAUCCCAUUACUGGGUAUAUACCCAAAGGAAUAUAAAUCAUGCUGCUAUAAAGAAACAUGCACACGUAUGUUUAUUGCAGCACUACUCACAAUAGCAAAGACUUGGAACCAACCCAAAUGUCCAACAAUGAUAGACUGGAUUAAGAAAAUGUGGCACAUAUACACCAUGGAAUACUAUGUAGCCAUAAAAAGGAUGAGUUCAUGUCCUUUGUAGGGACAUGGAUGAAGCUGGAAACCGUCAUUCUCAGCAAACAAUCGCAAGGACAAAAAUCCAAACACCGCAUGUUCUCACUCAUAGGUGGGAAUUGAACAAUGAGAACACUUGGACACAGGAAGGGGAACAUCACACACCGGGGCCUGUUGUGGGUCAGGGGAAGGAGGGAGGGAUAGCAUUAGGAGAUAUACCUAAUGUAAAUGGUGAGUUAAUGGGUGCAGCACACCAACAUGGCACAUGUAUACAUAUGUAACAAACCUGCACGUUGUGCACAUGUACCCUAGAACUUAAAGUAUAAUAAAAU
rnacentral:lncRNA from 1 species